AACGCACAUUGCGCCCUUUGGUAUUCCGAAGGGCAUGCCUGUUCGAGCGUCAUUAUCACCCCUCAAGCCCCCGGCUUGGUGUUGGACGGUUUGGUGGAGGCCCCCUCGUCGGGGUCGCUGCCCCUCCCAAAGACAAUGACGGCGGCCUCGUUGGACCCCCGGUACACUGAGUUCUUCACGGGACACGUACUGGACACAAGGGUGCGCGGGGCACGGUCUGCCUCCCCUCUAGGGAGAAUCAUCUCAAGGUUGACCUCGGAUCAGGUAGGGAUACCCGCUGAACUUAA
rnacentral:misc_RNA from 1 species